CACGUAGGCGGCCUUGUAAGUCAGGGGUGAAAUCCCACGGCUCAACCGUGGAACUGCCUUUGAAACUGCAGGGCUUGAAUCCUGGAGGGGGUGGCGGAAUUCCUGGUGUAGGAGUGAAAUCCGUAGAUAUCAGGAGGAACACCGGUGGCGAAGGCGGCCACCUGGACAGGUAUUGACGCUGAGGUGCGAAAGUGUGGGGAGCAAACA
rnacentral:rRNA from 1 species